GUCUAAGUAGCUCAGAUGAAAGAGCAGUCGCCCGGUAAGCGAAAGGUCGUGGGUUCGAUUCCCACCUUAGGCA